CUACGGGAGGCAGCAGUGGGGAAUUUUGGACAAUGGGGGCAACCCUGAUCCAGCCAUGCCGCGUGAGUGAAGAAGGCCUUCGGGUUGUAAAGCUCUUUCGGACAGAAAGAAAUCGCACAGGAUAAUACCUUGUGUGGAUGACGGUACUGUAAGAAGAAGCACCGGCUAACUACGUGCCAGCAGCCGCGGUAAUACGUAGGGUGCGAGCGUUAAUCGGAAUUACUGGGCGUAAAGCGUGCGCAGGCGGUUUAUUAAGACAGAUGUGAAAUCCCCGGGCUCAACCUGGGAACUGCAUUUGUGACUGGUAGACUAGAGUGUAGCAGAGGGGGGUAGAAUUCCACGUGUAGCAGUGAAAUGCGUAGAUAUGUGGAGGAAUACCGAUGGCGAAGGCAGCCCCCUGGGUUAACACUGACGCUCAUGCACGAAAGCGUGGGGAGCAAACAGGAUUAGAAACCCUUGUAGUCC
rnacentral:rRNA from 1 species